UAUGUAGGUUAAUUGGCUUGUUUAAUUGACUCGAUAAAAUGUUAAAUUGUCCAAGUUGGCGAUAUGCAGAGUACUGCCCUGCCGACUACAACAUUCAGAAGGUUCAGAAAGUUUAGUUUAGUGAUACAGCGCCGAAACCGGCCCUUCGGCCCACCGAGUCUGCACUGACUAGCGAUCCCUGUACACUAACACUAUGCUAGGGACCUUACAAUUCUACUAAGAUAAUUAACCUACAACCAUGUACGUCUUUGUAGUGUUGGAGGAGUCCGGAGCACCGGAGGUCACGGGGAGAACGUUCAAACUCCAUACAGGCAGCACCCGCAGUCAGUCUGCUUAUUACGGGGUCUUGUUCCACACACCCUUGUUCCACACACCCAGCAACCUCAGGGUGGAACCUCAGCUUCCUCUUUAAAUCUUUUCCCUCUCACCAUAGACUUUUGUCCUCUGGGUUUAGCCUCUCCUACAGAGGAAAAGGCAGUGCGCAUCCGACCUUAUUUAUACUCCUCAUGGUUUUAUAAAUGACUUAUUGAGGUCACCUCUCAACCUCCUGGCUAAACAAUGUCAGCCUGUCCAGGCUCUCCUUAUAAAUGGUCCCCAGUUCCAGUAACAUCCUGAUGAAUCUUUUCGGCACUCCCCCCUUUCCAACUUGGUGAGAGCUUGAGACAGAGACAGAGGGAGCGGGGCUGUGGGCGGGACAGGUGUGGACUAGAGGGACAGAGUGGCCAUGAGUUUCCCGCGGUGAUCUACUGCUGAGAAAGUUCCCUUCACAAUAUCCUGCCAACCUUGCACUAAACGGUAUUCCCUUAUCAUGUAUCUAUACACUGUGAACAGCUCGAUUGUAAUCAUGUAUUGUCUUUCCGCUGACUGGAUAGCACGCAACAAAAGCUUUUCACUGUACCUCGGUACACGUAACAAUCCUGACCUGCAUUGCUGUCUGUGUGGAGUUUGCACGUUCUCCCUGUGACCGCGGGAGAAUGUGUGGGUUUGCAUACUUGAUUCCUUUAAAUUGCCUGUAGUUUCAGUUCAGUUGAGUUUAUUGUCACGUGUGGCGAGGUACAGUGAGCAGCUUUUGUUGCGAGCUCAACAGUCAGCAGAAAGACAAUACAUGAUUACAGCAGAGCCACGGGAAGUGUAUGAGAAUGUGGGGUAACUCGGAGUGCCAACGGGUCAUCGCUGGUCGGCGUGGACUCGGUGGGCCGAAGGGCCUGCUUUCUGUGCUGUAUCUCCAAUAAAACUAUCCCUACAUUGUCCAUCAACCUCCUGCAUCCGGGCAGCUCUGGUCAGUGGUGUCGAUCAAAGAUCUUAUAGCAGAGCAAGAUAGGCUACUCCUGCUAAAUGCAAUGGACUGACGUGUAGUACGCUAUGGAGGGGAUCAUGGGCAUUUUUCCACGCCCAUUUUAGCAACCUGAGCCGACCUGACCCGACUCGCACUGUAAUCAAUGUUGCGGGGUAACAGUUUGUGUGGGUCAGAUUCAUAAAUCUGUCAGUUCAAACUUCUUUUCAAGAAUAACAUUUGAUUCUGAUCUUUGGUGCCGAUGUCAGCCCGGAUUUGGAAUAACUCCACCCGGACUCGGGACCCCAGUAUCCACGGACCAGCGGACAGGAACUGCACCAGACAAGGUCACGGGUCGAAACCCUUCACACUACGUGUAGGAAAGAACUGCAGAUGUUGGUUUAAAUCCUUUCCUUCUUUCCUGAGAUGCUGCCUGUCCCGCUGAGUUACUCCAGCUGUUUGUGUCUAUCUUCUGUGUAAACCAGCAUCUGCAGUUCCUUCUUUUCUAAUUGUGUUUUACACUAGUCCUGUUUUUUGUACAGUAUUUCUCCUUUUCACUGUCUUGUGUAACCCGUGUAAUGUUUGUAUAAGAUGCGUUCAGUGUGUGUCAUAGAAACAUAGAAAAUAGGUGGAGUAGGCCAUUCGGCCCUUCGAGCCAGCACUGCCAUUAUUGGCUCAUCAUCCAAAAUCAGUAGCCCGUUCCUGCUUUCUCCCCAUAUCCCUUGAUUCACUAUCCUCCCAAUAUCCCUUGAUUCCUUUAGGCUAAAGAACGAAAUCUAACUCUCUCUUGAAAACAUCCGAUGAAUUGGCCUCCACUGCCUUCGGUGGCAGACAAUUCCACAACUCUCUGGGUGAAAAUGUUUUUCCUCAUCUCAGUCCCAAAUUUUGCAUCUAUAACCCUGUGACGCUGCUGGAAGCAAGAUUGUCAUUCUACCUGUACCUCCCUGCAUGUGACAAUGAACUCAAUUACACGCGAUUCCCUCCCUCUGGUCGGGAGAGUCCGGGGCUGAUUCCCAAUCCUGGCCUCAGAGUCGGGGUUCCGUGGCCCCUGCAGUCCCCACACUCAGUGAUCGCCUCGACCCCUCGUGUCGACUCUGGGUUAGUCGUGGGAUAUGGCUAAUGGAAGGUAGCCCUGAACUAAACAUGUUUCAAAAGAAUUUAUUUAAUUACGGGCUAAUAACGGGAAAAAAGCUUAUACUCAAAUUCUGGAAAAACGCUCCUAUACCAACAAUAAAAAUGUGGAUUUCAAACAUGUUCGAAACACUACACCUGGAAGAUAUGAGACUCCUCCUCGCGGGCAAAGCAGACCACUUCCAAAAGACGUGGUCUGCAUUUAUGAACUUUCUACAAGCAUAAAGUGCAAUAAUAAUUUAAAAAAUAAAUGGUGCCAGGAUCUGGUAA